GGAGCAAUCCUGGUGGCGAGUGGCGAACGGGUGAGUAAUGUAUCGGAACGUACCUUUCAGUGGGGGAUAACGUAGCGAAAGUUACGCUAAUACCGCAUAUUCUGUGAGCAGGAAAGCAGGGGAUCGCAAGACCUUGCGCUGAUUGAGCGGCCGAUAUCAGAUUAGCUAGUUGGUGAGGUAAAGGCUCACCAAGGCGACGAUCUGUAGCGGGUCUGAGAGGAUGAUCCGCCACACUGGAACUGAGACACGGUCCAGACUCCUACGGGAGGCAGCAGUGGGGAAUUUUGGACAAUGGGGGCAACCCUGAUCCAGCCAUGCCGCGUGAGUGAAGAAGGCCUUCGGGUUGUAAAGCUCUUUCGGCCGGGAAGAAAUCGCAUGGGUUAAUACCCUGUGUGGAUGA
rnacentral:rRNA from 1 species